CAGUGCAUGGUGGGAGAUGUCAGCAUUAUCCUGACGGACCCAACAGACCUCUCCUCGGCUGAGCUGGAGAUCAUGAUAGCAGGCCACAGAACGCAUGGACAAGAAUAUGGGACUCGUACAGCUUAAAUAUCCUCGGGCAUGUUGAGGAGGACCGACAGUGUUCAGGGCCCUGUCACUCCUACAUAUGGACUUCGCAAGUUGAUGAGGUUCUGAUCCUCCAAAUGGCCAGAAACCAGGCAUCCAUGGCUCUGGAAUUCUUCCUUGAUGCUGCAAAGAAACGUGACUCCAUCCAGCCUGUCUUGAAGCCAAGAUGACCUGGACACAACUGGGAAGACUUAUUGCUGUCAACCCUCAUGAAAGCCUUGUGCAGAAUAAGACAUUUUUCCAAUGUGUGGCCCCUACAAAUCGGGCUGUUUCACCAUGUCCCCUUUUUAAAUGGCACUGGUGCAGGUCUAGUUUUUCACUGUAUCUAGUGCUACAGGGGAGCUAGGACCUGCACCAGUGCCUGUCAUCUUUGAUAUUAAAAGCAGAACAAGAAAGUUUUACAGUCAUAAUAGUUUUAUUGAAAACCAAAAACAAAGCCUGGAAAUUGUAAUUUUUUUUAUUUUUUAUUUUUUAAAUGCUGAGGUUUUGGCUAAGAUGGGAAAAUACCUAUCAAGGUAGAGUA